rnacentral:rRNA from 1 species
CGUCAAAUCAUCAUGCCCCUUAUGUCUUGGGCUUCACGCAUGCUACAAUGGCCGGUACAAAGGGCUGCGAUACCGCGAGGUGGAGCGAAUCCCAGAAAAGCCGGUCUCAGUUCGGAUUGGGGUCUGCAACUCGACCCCAUGAAGUCGGAGUCGCUAGUAAUCGCAGAUCAGCAACGCUCGCGGUCGAAUACGUUCCGGGCCUU